rnacentral:rRNA from 1 species
UACGAAGGGUGCAAGCGUUAAUCGGAAUUACUGGGCGUAAAGCGCGCGUAGGUGGUUCGGCAAGUUGGAUGUGAAAGCCCCGGGCUCAACCUGGGAACCGCAUCCAAAACUACUGGGCUAGAGUACGGUAGAGGGUGGUGGAAUUUCCUGUGUAGCGGUGAAAUGCGUAGAUAUAGGAAGGAACACCAGUGGCGAAGGCGACCACCUGGACCGAUACUGACACUGAGGUGCGAAAGCGUGGGGAGCAAACAGGAUUAGAUACCCUAGUAGU